AUACGGAGGAUGCAAGCGUUAUCCGGAUUUAUUGGGUUUAAAGGGUGCGUAGGCGGUUUACUAAGCGGGAGGUGAAAUGCCGGCACUCAACGUCGGAAGUGCCUCCCGAACUGGUGGACUUGAAUGACUCUGCCGUGGGAGGAAUGUGUAGUGUAGAGGUGAAAUGCUUAGAGAUUACACAGAACACCGAUUGCGAAGGCAUCUCACGAAGGGUUGAUUGACGCUGAGGCACGAAAGCGUGGGGAUCAAACAGGAUUGGAUACCCUGGUAGUCCACGCAGUAAACGAUGAUGGCUAACCGCUGGGCUUAUCAGUUCAGUGGCCAAGCGAAAGCGAUAAGCCAUCCACCUGGGGAGUACGACCGCAAGGUUGAAACUCAAAGGAAUUGGCGGGG
rnacentral:rRNA from 1 species